CUCCCAGCGAAGCUGCUGCAGCAGCAGCAGGUGGGCGGGGCCCUGGGCCCGCAGCGCCGCCUCCCGCAGCUCCAGCCCGCGCUUCUCCCGCCGCGCCAGCUGCAGCCGCAGCACCAGGUCCGCCAGACUGUCCUGGGGGAGGGGGGCGCGAGAGUCAGCUCCUCCGGGGGUGCCCACGGAGGCCAGGAGAACACCCCGACCACCGCCGGGAAAUGACAUUGUGGAAGCGUCUAGAAUUUCUCAGACCUCACAUCUUUUUAUUUAUUGUUUGAAAUUUAUUUUAUGGCAGGCAGACAGAACCGUGCAGACCUUAUCCCGGCACUUGAGGCAGAGGCAGGUGAUCUCUGUGCAUUCAAGCCCAGCCCGAUCUACAUAAUGUAAUGUGACCAGCGGCCUCAGGCUCAGACAGUCACGACUUGAUGGACUGCACCCUGGAACUGCCAGUCAAGAUGGAACAAAUCUUCCUUCCUGAAAUUGUCCCUGUCAGGGAUUUCAUCAGAGCAACACAAAGAUAACUUACAGAAUCUUAUGGAGAACCUAAUCAGGAGGAGGAACUCCUAUGCAGUCCGCAAAGCCUGAACUCCAACUUUCUUUCAUGUAAGAAACCAGCUGCCCAUCCAAGGGAAACCCUGCUUGCCUCUGAUCUCCAAUGACAUCAUCAAGGGUGUGCUGUGAGAGUGUCAGCACAUUCCUACCCGAGUCGCCACCAGGUCCUGCUGCAUCUGAGACUUCUCUAGCCGGGGCAGGGCUGGGCCAGGCUGUAUCUCCAGAACGGCCUGCACUGUUGCUUCUGCAUGAGGCAUGGUGGGCCUGGGUGUGGUGGCAGGGCAGAGUGCUGGGGGGAUCUUCACCAGAGCCCAGCGUUCCCGGAGACGCCGGAUGUAGCCAUGGAGCUGAGCAGCCAGUUCCUCUGGUGUGGGCUUGUCCACACUGCUCCCCUCUGGGCUGCAGGAGACAGGAAGCAGACCUGUGCUACACAGCUGUUGCCAAGGCACAGCCCCGAAGAGCCACCCCAGCCCUGUGCCAGCUGGGCAAUCUUCCAGCAAGACAAUAUGGCAGGUGCGGGGGCUCGGUCCGUAGAGAGCCUGCCUAGCGUACGUGAGGCUCCAUCCCUGGCACCAUAUAAAUAUCCCAACUCUCAGGAGAUGGAGGCAGGAGGAUCAGGAGUUCAAGGUCAUUCUCAGAUACAUAGCAAGGUGGUGGAGCCUAGGUGGUAACUAGGCCACCAGGGGAGUUUGAAUUCAAUUCUGCGGUGUGUGCGCACAGCCCACACUGGACACUGAGGCUGCACUGGCAGCUGAGACUCUGCAGUGCAGGAGCUCAUGGGCACUGGGAUGGACAGUACCUAGAAGUGUACUGCUAACCCUGCCAGGUCCACACAGGCCUUCACCAGUGCCUCCUUCCUUUGGGCUACACCAUGCCCUGGACACUCCCUGUAGCUCUGCUCCCUGUAGCUUCCUGUUGCCAUGAUGGAUUGACACCUCUGGAGCCAUAAACCAAACAUUAAUAAUU